AGAGUUUGAUCCUGGCUCAGGAUGAACGCUGGCGGCGUGCCUAACACAUGCAAGUCGAGCGCGAAGAAUUGGAAUGAGGUUUCGGCCAAGUGAAGAUUCCGAAAGCGGCGGACGGGUGAGUAACGCGUGGGUAACCUGCCUUAUACAGAGGGAUAGCAGUUGGAAACGACUAUUAAUACCUCAUAAGCACACGAGACCGCAUGGUCUUGGGUGAAAAGCUCCGGCGGUAUAAGAUGGACCCGCGUCUGAUUAGCUAGUUGGUGAGGUAAUGGCUCACCAAGGCGACGAUCAGUAGCCGACCUGAGAGGGUGAUCGGCCACACUGGGACUGAGACACGGCCCAGACUCCUACGGGAGGCAGCAGUGGGGAAUAUUGCACAAUGGACGAAAGUCUGACGCAGCAACACCGUGUGAGGGAUGAAGCAUUUCGGUGUGUAAACCUCUGUCGAUGAUGAAUAAAGCGUGUGGGAGUGGAAAGCCCAUGCGUUGAAGGUAAUCAUGAAGGAAGCACCGGCUAACUCUGUGCCAGCAGCCGCGGUAAUACAGGGGGUGCAAGCGUUGUUCGGAAUCACUGGGCGUAAAGGGAGCGUAGGCGGAACUACAAGACAGGGGUUAAAGAUCCGGGCUCAACCUGGAGAGUGCCUUUGUGACUGUGGUUCUUGAGUAUGGUAGAGGUCAGCGGAAUUUCCGGUGUAGCGGUGGAAUGCGUAGAGAUCGGAAAGAACACCAGAGGCGAAGGCGGCUGACUGGACCAAUACUGACGCUGAGGCUCGAAAGCGUGGGGAGCAAACAGGAUUAGAUACCCUGGUAGUCC
rnacentral:rRNA from 1 species